GCCGUUGUAGCUCAGCUGGUAGAGCGCAUCCAUGGUAAGGAUGAGGUCACCGGUUCAAACCCGGUCAACGGCUCCA
rnacentral:tRNA from 1 species